GGGUGCGAUCAUACCAGCACUAAUGCACCGGAUCCCUUCAGAACUCCGCAGUUAAGUGUGCUUGGGCGAGAGUAGUACUAGGAUGGGUGACCUCCUGGGAAGUCCUCGUGUUGCAACCC
rnacentral:rRNA from 1 species